UACAGAGGGUGCGAGCGUUGUUCGGAAUUACUGGGCGUAAAGCGCGCGCAGGCGGCUCUUUAAGUCUACCCGUGAAAUGCCGGGGCUCAACCCCGAGCACGCCGGGGGAUACUGGAGGGCUGGAGACAGGUAGAGGCAAGCGGAAUUCCGGGUGUAGCGGUGGAAUGCGUAGAGAUCCGGAAGAACACCGGAGGCGAAGGCGGCUUGCUGGGCCUUGUCUGACGCUGAGGCGCGAAAGCGUGGGGAGCGAACAGG
rnacentral:misc_RNA from 1 species